AGGUUCACUGAAAAAGGUGCCAUCAAGUCGAUUGUUGAUCAUGAUAACUGAAGGUGUCAGGAGUCAAUCGGUUUCUUUAUUCGGCGAAAAAAUACGAAAAGACCCAAACCAUGUUCCUAACGAGAUCAUCAUCAUCAUUGUAACAUUUCGAUUCUUGUCUCGGAUGUCACGUGUUCCAGCCCAUUCGGUCGCCCGUUUCCAGCCGACAUGACCUUGGCAUCUCAUCUGCCACGUCGUUCAGCCGAUACUUCUGAAUUUGCAUCUGAAUCGGGGUGUGGCAAACGACGAAGGAUAGAUCGCAGUGUACUUUCUGUUGCCUGUACUUUCAUGCUAAUUUCCGAAACCAUCCCGAUCUAACCUCUUGCAAAAAAGACAUUGUGUUCGACGAACCAAAGAAAAUCAGCCUAAAUUCAUUCACACAUUUCCGAGUUUUUUCAACGAUUUUUCAAGGAAACUUUAAAUAGCUAAAACGUUGCGUUGGGGAGGAGUUACUUGGAUUUGUUAAGCAGUUUUAUUAUAUGUUUGCAAACACUUAAUAUAAGAUAGUAGGCUUUGAAGCAUUUACCCAUGUUUUUUAACAUUAAAAAUAAUGUCCCUCUAUUUAGCCCACCAUGAGGAAUACUUAAAUCUUUCAUUUUGACUUAUUCCAGUUCUAGUUUUAAUCUAAAAUGUGGUAAAAAUGUUAUAAAAAUUCCACGGAAGUUCACUUACGCCUUUGCCUGCCACCUCUUAGGUAAGCGUGUAGGCACAAGUUGAGACCGUCUUAAGGGUAGGUAGGUAACAGAAUAUUCAAUGCCUCUCAAAAGAAUGUUCUCCCUGCAAUUGCAAUGUUUCCAUUUGGAACUUACUUACAUCAAGAGAAGUGGUAUUUAAUGAUACUGUUCAGACAGUAUUCGAAAUUUAUUGAAUCAAUUAAAUUGCUAUCUUAUCAUUAAGUUUCAAUUUGUUUAUUUCAUUAUCCGAUCACUUUGUUCCUACGAUUUCCCGAAGAUCAUCUGUCCCGCUUAUCAAGCAACUCUCAUUUUUCUUGCUGCAACUAACUUUUAUCAGUGUAACAGUUCUAGUUUCUUUUUGCUUUCUGUAAAAAAAAGAGAGGGACGCUUUACCUCUAAAAGUCAAUCAGUUAAACAAAUUACCGUAUUACCGUUCGAAACUUAUUGCCAAUUAAUUGCCACAAACACGUUUCGCAAAGCGCGGGUCCACCACCAACUACAAAGUGUCUUCGUGAUACUCGCGAGAGUUUCUAUUCUGGAAACAAUCUAAAAAAUACCUAAUAUUGAUGACGUUUUUUGACUCGGAACUUGAAACAAAGAAGUAAUGAAGAUACCGAAAAGUGUUGAGAUGCGCAGAGACAGGUGUCGAGGUCAUUUUGAAAUGGGCGGAGUUCAAAGUGAGGUUAGAAAAGUAAUGGUCAUUUUAAGGUGGCCACUGGUUGAUAAAAUACACGACAGGAGACCUCAAUUCGUAAUUUAUUGCUGGUUUGUUCUCUACAAAUACUACACUCUUUUUUUAAUUAUUUAUAGUCAGGGUAUUUAGCUUCUAGGAUUUGCAAGAUUUGCUAUAAAUUUCAUAUUCUAUGGUAGAGAAAAAUUCAUACAUUUGGUGUCGACUUGCACAACUUUCCUCAAAAAUAUAUACUUGGUACAGAAGUUUUUAAUAUAACCCAAGAUUGAUUGAACUUUUGCCAACAUUACCAAAGCUUCUCAUUUUGUCGAGCAAGUAUAUGCAACUGAAAGUAUUAAACUAGAGCGCCUCUAAGCGUAUUCAAUAUCUUUACUAUCAAAUUUUUUUCAGUUGAAACCUUUCCUGGUUAUGAAUUUCAAAUGUUAGGCAUGAAUUUUUAAUAAUUAAGACUUGGCGCUCACAGUAAAAGUUUACGAGUAAAUUUGUUAACAGCAGCAAAACAUUUUAAUAGGUGCAAGAAUCAUAAUGAUAUAGAUUCAUUCUAUUGUUUUUUCUUCAAAAUUAUCAGAAAGUUGAAAAGGUAAAAAUCUCUACUGGUUAAUGUAUUAAUUCCUUCCUAUUAUCACAUUUUCUCUUCGGUAUACCGAUAAAUCCUCUUUCAACACCACUACCAUAAUUUUUGCGUUUAAUACCCAUAGUAAUAAGUGUUCUUGACACUUUGCCACUUUUACAUGGCAGAAAAAAAGGAAUAUGACCUUACCUCAGUCAACUGUCUUUUCCUCCUCCGUUUUUUCUUCGUCCAUUCAAGAUAACUUCUUCUCUUUAUUUUACACAAAAGCCAGACGCAAGAAUCGAAAUGUGCGGCGGCCGCUUUUCCCAAUUUGCUGUCAACAGUUUUUCGGGUUUCAAAUGGCAGAAAUCGAGAAUCGCAAAUUAAGAAUCAAAACCAAUUCCAUAUUGAAUUACGAGAGAACUGUGUAGAAAAGUAUGCAGAACGGAAGCUUCGAACAUAUGACGUGGCAGAGGGAAAAUGGUUUCCCAGGUAUAUCAGGUGACCAAGUGAUCGUUAAAAGAAUCAGCACUUCCCCCAUCCAGAUAAUUAUGCCACAACUUUCCCUUUGAUCCGACGACAAUGUUUGUAUGACAAUUCUAGAUUUAUCAGAAAACUUUGUGUAGUCUUGUUGUUAUUAGAUGUAAAUCCUCACAGGAUAGCUUCUUGGUUGUAGGUUUUCAUAAAAUAAAGUGGAGAAAUAAAAUAUUGAACACUUUUUUAUUUUGUUUCCCAAAAAUACUAACUUCAAACGUUAGCAAAACUAGCAAGACUUGGUUUAGCCCAAGUUUGAUCCAACGUGUGUCAAUCGUUUUUGAAAUUUUUUUUUGCUACUAUAACAAGUAUGAGUUAGACCAAAGUCGUGUUUAACUUGGGCGCAGUCUAAAGCAAUACUUGCUUUAAUUUUUCUUAAGCUUCACCAAUUUUUGAUCCAAGUCAUCAUUUUGGAGCCCAAUAAGCUUUCACAUUUUUUCUGCUUCAAUAUUUUCCAAAUAUAGUUUUACAAAAUUUUAACUGAAUGUUUUAUAAAAUAAUUGUAAUUUGUUGACCGAUCAAUUUCCAGUCAUGGUAUUGAAGAACUCUUAAAAUGAAAUUUAAGCUGAAACCAAUCGCAUAUGUUUUCUCUUCUCCUAUUCUUGUCAGACUUUCAAGUACUUUUCCUUUUCUCACUUUUCCCGUCUUAUUUUACUUUCGAAAAUACACUUUUUGUCAUUUUCGCUACUGAUCUGUCUCUCUUAUUUGCCUGUUCAUAUCAAAUAAACCAUAGUUU
ensembl:lincRNA linc-125 ncRNA